AGUAGUUCAGUGAUAGAACCUGUGCUUAGUGUGCAUAAGGGCCUGAGUUCAAUCCCCAGCU
rnacentral:tRNA from 1 species